rnacentral:rRNA from 1 species
GAUGAACGCUAGCGAUAGGCUUAACACAUGCAAGUCGAGGGGCAGCGAGGGUAGCAAUACCUGUCGGCGACCGGCGCACGGGUGAGUAACGCGUAUGUAACCUGCCCGCAACAGGGGGAUAACCCGGCGAAAGUCGGACUAAUACCGCAUAAAACAGGGGUCCCGCCUGGGAAUAUUUGUUAAAGAUUUAUCGGUUGCGGAUGGGCAUGCGUACCAUUAGGUAGUUGGUGAGGUAACGGCUCACCAAGCCUUCGAUGGUUAGGGGUUCUGAGAGGAAGGUCCCCCACACUGGUACUGAGACACGGACCAGACUCCUACGGGAGGAAGCAGUGAGGAAUAUUGGUCAAUGGGCGAGAGCCUGAACCAGCCAAGUCGCGUGAAGGAUGACUGCCCUAUGGGUUGUAAACUUCUUUUACAAGGGAAUAAAAUGAGAUACGUGUAUUUUAUUGCAUGUACCUUGGGAAUAAGCAUCGGCUAACUCCGUG